rnacentral:lncRNA from 1 species
GAGAGAGCUUCUGACUGAGAGAGCUUCUGACUGAGAGCGCUUCUGACUGAGAGAGCUUCUGACUGAGAGAGCUUCUGACUGAGAGAGCUUCUGACUGAGAGAGCUUCUGGACCGGACUGAGAAGUCAAUUCUGGAUAAGAUGGGGCCAUGUGACCAUUUUUCCCAACCUCGCUCUGCUGAUGUGCAAAUGUCAUUUAAUUCUGUGAUUUGCAAUUCAAUAAUGCCCAACAGAACAAACCCAGGGAGGCAGUGGAAUGGGCUGUGUCCUUUAUAACCUAGUCAGCAUCUAUAGCUGUUCUUCUCAGUGGUUCUGUCCUCGGGGGAGGGGGGUGGAUUUGUUAAUACUGGGCUAACAUGAUAUGACAUGGAGAAAGGCAGCCAGGCUACUUAUUUAAACAAAACAAAAUGAAAACUGCACUCAGAGCUGGGCAUGGUGGUGCAUGCCUUUGAUCCUAGCACUCAAGAGACAGAUCUCUUAGGCCAGCCUGGUCUACAGAGCAAGAUCCAGGAAAGCUAGGGCUACACAGAGUGGGGUAGGGCACACAAGCUGCUCUUAGUAGAUGUGGGGAAAACUGGGGUGGGUAGAUGGGGUGCUAUGUAGUAGAGAUACCAAGACUUCAUAAGAGGAAGAAGGAAGACAGGAAAAAGCUGGGCAAAGUGAUGCAUAUCAUUAAUUCCAGCACUGGUGAAGUAGAGACAGGGUGAGUUCAAGUGCUUUUAUUCUCUCUAGUCAAAAUGUUUAAAAGUUACUUUUCCUGUAAGUCUGUCUUAACCUUAUGGCUCCAAUCACUCAUUUCCUCAACAUUUUUUAUAACCUGUAAGUCAUAUAAUUUUCUUCUUGAUUUAUCAUCUGUGCUAAUUUUAAAAUCACAACAGUGUGAGAAUGAAUACAGUGUGCUGCACAUAUUUGGUACUUAGUGUCUGCUCC